ensembl:miRNA
UGGCCGGCUCUGGGUCCAUCUUCCAGCACAGUGUUGGAUGGUCUGAUUGUGAAGCUCCUAACACUGUCUGGUAAAGAUGGCUCCCGGGUCGGUUU